AAGUCUAGGUCCAAGAGGCUUUCAGCUUCUACACCCAAGCCAUAAGACUCAUGAACAGCUCAUCAAAUGGCUACCGAGACUAUUUUGAAUUGCCCCCUGCUACUGCUGCUCUACUGCUGCUCUUUAAUUAUUUGUUAUUCUUAUCACUUACUUUUUUGGGAGGUAAUUUUCUUAAAACUGAAUAGUUGGUUAAGGGCUUGUAAGUCAGAAUUUCACUGUACGGUAUACUGCACCUGUUAUAUUUGGUGCAUAUGACAAAUUAGAUUUGAUUUGUAGCUCUUAAAGACUUCUCUCACUGGCCCAUAUUUAGAAAGCCAUCACUGCAGCCCCGCCCCCCUUUCCAGAGGAAAUGGGUGGGGCCUUAGCCAUGACCUCGCUCCAGGAAACUAAGCAACGGUUUAUACCAUCUAUACAAGGCAGGGAGCAGGAAGAGGCUGUGCUUUCAUAAACCCAUUGGAGAAAUUGCAUUACUGCCCAGUAAUCAGACUUUUUUUUGUUAUACAGGGGGAUAUUGACUUGCACUCCUGCAUUUUACCUGUUGUCCAACAAUUCUGAAAUAAAAUGUAAUUAUCAUGUUAUUUUAUAGGUUUAGUUUUGUAGGUUUUAGCAGACUGUCUUAUCCCAAGCCACUUACAUUACUUAUGAUGGCUUAUAAUAAAUGCACAGAGGGGUGAAACAUCAGCAUAAAACAUCAACAAGCAUAAUAAAUCAACUCUUCCUUAGAUGUAGGAAGAAAUGUUUUUGUGACCGAGAUGGCCAUCAUAUUUUGUAUAACACCACUGACCUGUGUGUUUAUCUUGUAUGUGCCCAGGAUGGGAAACUGUACCAGCCUCCGGUGGUGGUGAUUAUAGACUGUAAGCUGGGGGCAGACCUGCUAUGUGAGCAGGGAAGUAGGUCAUGGGCCUCAACACGGUGGCCAUCCACUCCGACAAGACCCAGUGGGAACGCAACCGCAUCCUCAAGGGUCUACUUGAAGGGCACUUUGAAGUGAUGGUCCACUGGUGUACUGGGCAGAGGGCUCAAACUGGUCAAUGUCAAACUGGUGGUCUUUGACAUCUCACCCAACAUGGACAAAUAUGUUCAUCACCUGAGCAGAGCAGGCAGACUGGGCCACUGGGGCACUGCCUUCAUGUUGGUCAACAACAUCAACAAGUGUCUGUCCCUGAAGGUGGUAAACUGGGUGAAGCCCACAGGCUCCCAGCUGCCCCCCCAGCUCCUCAACUCCCCUCACCUCCACGAGCAGCAGAGGAAGGAAAAGCACAAAGCCACGUAAAGUAGAGAGGAUGAUAAACACAACAGGAGAAUAAAAAGAUAGAAACAGUUUGACAGAUGCACUUGUUAUAGUUACUUUGUGUUUAUAUCUGGGUAAUUUGUCAUUUUUUAAUAAAUUAAUAUGAAAACUUGA